rnacentral:rRNA from 1 species
UACGAAGGGGGCUAGCGUUGUUCGGAAUCAUUGGGCGUAAAGAGCGUGUAGGCGGUCCGGUAAGUCCGCUGUGAAAGUCCAGGGCUCAACCCUGGGAUGCCGGUGGAUACUGUCGGGCUAGAGUACGGAAGAGGCGAGUGGAAUUCCUGGUGGAGCGGUGAAAUGCGCAGAUAUCAGGAGGAACACCCGUAGCGAAGGCGGCACUCUGGGCCGAUACUGACACUGAGGAGCGAAAGCGUGGGGAGCGAACAGG